GCCUUCAGAUAGCUGUGAGGAUAAAAUGAGUGAAUUGGCCUAAAUCUUGUUUAUUGUAAAAUGACAAGUAAAAAUAAAAUUUUUGACAGAUAUAAUGUAAAUUAUUUGAAUGCGAAUGUUUAUUAAUUGGUAACAAAGUGAGCAUGUUUAAUUAUGUUUAGGGACACUCAAAUUCUAGUAUAAAUCCACCUCAACUCAAGUGCAAUUUUGAAACAAAAAAUAAACAUCAGAAAAAAAAAAUAGAAAUUUUCUUAGCCAAAAAAAAAAAAAAAGGAAAAUCAAGCUUUCUGAUGAGUAAUGUACAAUAUAAACAGGAUGAAAAUGCAAAAUUCAUGGCUGCUUUUUAGUCGUGUUACGAACAAAUAAAACAAGAACCCUGAUGACUGGCAAGAUGGCUGAAUAGGAACAGCUCCAGUCUGCAGCUCCCAGUGAGAUCAACGCAGAAGAUAAAACCCUCAUCUCCCUGGGACAGAGCACUGGGGGAAGGGGCAGUUGUGGGCGCAGUUUCAGCAAACUUAAACGUUCCUGCCUGCCAGCUCUGAAGAGAGCAGCCGAUCUCCCAGCACAGCGCUCAAGUUCUGCUAAGGGGCAGACUGCCUCCUCAAGUUGCUCCCUGACCCCCAUACCUCCUGACUGGGAGACACCUCCCAGCAGGUGUCGACAGAUGCCUCAUACAGGAGAGCUCCAGCUGGCAUCUGUUGGGUGCCCCUCUGAGAAGAAGCUUCCAGAGGAAGGAACAGACAACAAUCUUUGUUGUUCUGCAAUAGUUGCUAUUCCACAGUCUCCACUGGUGAUACCCAGGCAAACAGGGUCUGGAGUGGACCUCCAGCAAACUCCAGCUGACCUGCAGCAGAGGGUCCUGACUGUUAGAAGGAAAGCUAACAAACAGAAUGUUUGCCCAUUGGCAAGUUUGUGAUGAACGACAAUGUAGAACCUAGAUUGUGAGUGAGUAAUUUAAGUUUUCUUAAGAAGGCAUUUCUCUGGAUUCAAGCAGACAUACCUGGAACAAAUUCUACUUACUGCAUGCACAAGCAAGCUUUCCCUUCUUGAAGAACCCAGAGGAGUUUUUAGAGCAUUUAGUGAAGCUGUUAAACUCAUCAAAUUAAAGGCAGGCCUAGGCAUCUUUGAUUUUUUUUCUCAAAGCAAAGUGACUGUGGUUAGUGUUUUCUCAGAAAGACUUCUCUCAUUUACGCAAACUGUCUGAGGAACUUAAAAUUUUCCUGGAGGGAAACUUGUGUGAGAUCAUGUGAUAGCAGCGUCUUGCUUUGCAAUUUAUGUCACUUUGAGAUUUAUUUACUUAUUUAAACAACCGAACAUCUGUGUUUCAAAAGACAAGAUUAUCACCAGAAUACUCACCUUGGUUAAGAUGAGUUGGAUUCUUGUAUUUUUUUGUCCUGGACAACCUAGUUAUGACAUUGCCUAAAGAAUGCACUAGGCUGAGCAUGGUGCCUAGUAUCUGUAAUCCUAUCACUUUGGAAGGCUGAAGUGGGCAGACCAAUUCAGGCCAGGAGUUCAAGACCAGCCUGGCCAUCAUGGCGAAAUCCUGUCUCUAGUAAAACUACAAAAAUUAGCCAGGUAUGGUGGCACAUUACUGUAAAGCUAGCUGCGUGGAAGGCUGAAACACCAGAAUUGUUUGAACCCAGGAGAUGGAGGUUGCAGUGAGCUGAGAUAGUGCCACUACACUCCAGCCUGGGUGACAGAGUCAGAUCCUGCCUCAAAUAAAAACAAAAAAAGAAAAAAAAAAGAAAAAAA
ensembl:lncRNA